CCUACGGGGGGCAGCAGUGGGGAAUAUUGGGCAAUGGGCGAAAGCCUGACCCAGCAACGCCGCGUGAAGGAAGAAGGCUUUCGGGUUGUAAACUUCUUUUGACAGGGAAGAGCAGAAGACGGUACCUGUCGAAUAAGCCACGGCUAACUACGUGCCAGCAGCCGCGGUAAUACGUAGGUGGCAAGCGUUGUCCGGAUUUACUGGGUGUAAAGGUUGUGUAGCCGGGCUGACAAGUCAGAUGUGAAAUCCGGGGGCUCAACCCCCGAACUGCAUUUGAAACUGUUGGUCUUGAGUAUCGGAGAGGCAGGCGGAAUUCCUAGUGUAGCGGUGAAAUGCGUAGAUAUUAGGAGGAACACCAGUUGCGAAGGCAGCCUGCUGGACGACAACUGACGGUGAGGCGCGAAAGCGUGGGGAGCAAACAGGAUUAGAUACCCCUGUAGUC
rnacentral:rRNA from 1 species